rnacentral:lncRNA from 1 species
UUGAUCCCACCACACAAUGAACUCUCCAAACUCCAUGAUCGCAAGUUUUAUCUUUUUCUCCUUCGAAUAAUUGUGGCACUCAAAAAUAAGCUCCACCUUGUGCUCCCAUUCAAGAUAAGCAUUCGGAUCAUUCUUGCCUAGAAACGAUGGAAUUUUUAUUUUGAUGCUCCCAAUAUUUUUAUCAAGAUCGUUUCGACCCCUACCAUAAUUUCGACCUUCAUUGACCAAAGUAGCUUAGUCAUCAAAUUCUUCCUCCACUUCCUCAUCAAAAGGUAGUGUUGGAAGUCUUUUUGCCGUUGGAUUGGUUUGGAAAGCUUCCCCUAUCAUGGAUUUAAC